AUUGAACGCUGGCGGCAGGCCUAACACAUGCAAGUCGAGCGAGCGGCGGACGGGUGAGUAAUGUCUGGGAAACUGCCUGAUGGAGGGGGAUAACUACUGGAAACGGUAGCUAAUACUGCAUACCAUCAGAUGUGCCCAGAUGGGAUUAGCUAGUCGGUGGGGUAACGGCUUACCUAGGCGACGAUCCCUAGCUGGUCUGAGAGGAUGACCAGCAACACUGGAACUGGGACACGGUCCAGACUCCUACGGGAGGCAGCAGUGGGGAAUAUUGCACAAUGGGCGCAAGCCUGAUGCAGCCAUGCCGCGUGUGUGAAGAAGGCCUUAGGGUUGUAAAGCACUUUCAGCGGGGAGGCGUUACCCGCAGAAGAAGCACCGGCUAACUCCGUGCCAGCAGCCGCGGUAAUAC
rnacentral:rRNA from 1 species